rnacentral:rRNA from 1 species
UACGUAGGGGGCAAGCGUUUGUCCGGAAUCAUUGGGCGUAAAGCGCGUGUAGGCGGCCCGGUAAGUCCGCUGUGAAAGUCGGGGGCUCAACCCUCGGAUGCCGGUGGAUACUGUCGGGCUAGAGUGCGGGAGAGGCGAGUGGAAUUCCUGGUGUAGCGGUGAAAUGCGCAGAUAUCAGGAGGAACACCAAUUGCGAAGGCAGCUCGCUGGAACGUUACUGACGCUGAGGCGCGAAAGCCUAGGGGAGCAAACAGG